GACAGAGGGUGCAAACGUUGCUCGGAAUUACUGGGCGUAAAGAGCUCGUAGGUGGUUUGUCGCGUUGUUCGUGAAAACCGGGGGCUUAACCCUCGGCGUGCGGGCGAUACGGGCAGACUUGAGUACUGCAGGGGAGACUGGAAUUCCUGGUGUAGCGGUGGAAUGCGCAGAUAUCAGGAGGAACACCGGUGGCGAAGGCGGGUCUCUGGGCAGUAACUGACGCUGAGGAGCGAAAGCGUGGGGAGCGAACAGG
rnacentral:rRNA from 1 species